UUUCGUAAUAAAGAAUAACUACUCUUUACUUUUCUCAUACAUAUUUCUCUGAUACUCACAUUCGCUUCAGUCUAGGUGAAAAAUAUUCCGAUCCUAGUGAUAAGGUCACGUAAAUCAAAUAUUGGUAGGUAAUAAAAUCUCGGAGCGCCUGUGUCAGAGAUAUCCGAUAUUACGUUUUACAUAAAAUAAAUAAAUGUGCACUAUGUACUUUUAUGUUAGCAUAUUUUCUCCUGAUGAAAAUACAUAGUAUUUUAAGACAAAAAAUCAUCGUUGUCACAUUGCAAUCACAACAAUUCAAAGUUUGCAAACAAAAAAUAGGUUAAUAUUAAACACUAAAACAGUCCCUUUUCUUAACACGUUCUUAUUAGCUUCGUAUGUAUCUAACGGAAUAUUUGAACAACAUCUUCACCGACUUUAAGACGUUUGAUCAGCUUGAAAAUUUGCCAUGCGUCAAGGACCAAUGAUAGGGCAAUCAUUUUAUAGCUUCGUUCCAAUAUCCUGUCAACAGGAUAAAAAAGGAUGAAAUGAAUUUGUUAGAUAUGUUUAGGCUAGAUGUGUUUUUUUUUGUUUUUAAAACUACGUAUAUUAUUUAAGCAUCAAAAAUGUUCUCUACCCCUGUCGUGGCGUGCAACCUCUUUGACAGGACAUUAGAACUACAACGACUACACAUAGACACAGACUUAGACAGAGACUUGACAAGAAUUCGAAAAAAAAUGGAACGAGGGCGUAUGUGAUUCAGCGGCACGCUGUACAUUUUUUGACGUCCUUAAAAAAAGACACAAAAAGACAAAAAAGAACGAAGCGACCGUUCUCAUAUACAUAUAAAAAUAGUCGACAAAAGAACGAAUUGACCGUUCAACUGAUCCUUCGAACGUUCAAGUGGUAAUCGACCGUUCAUCCCCCAAAUAAGGAGUUUUCAUAUUAUUCGAAGAGGAUCGAGGGCUGUUAAAAAAAGCUGGAUAAUGUUAAUUUGGCAUAUUUUUAAUCUUUAUUGUUUCAUUCAUGUUACUGGAUUCACUAAUUAUCAAUCUAAGAAACGAUAGAGAAGAGAAAUACUUAAAAAACGCAAAUGACAAAUUUUUGCGCGACAUUUAAAAGUGAUUUUGGUUAAUAUACACAUGUACAUUCAUUAGAAUAAAUAUUUCUGAUGUGUCUAA